AAACCAACAGGGAUUGCCUUAGUAGCGGCGAGUGAAGCGGCAAAAGCUCAAAUUUGAAAUCUGGCUCUUUCAGAGUCCGAGUUGUAAUUUGAAGAAGGUAUCUUUGGGUCUGGCUCUUGUCUAUGUUUCUUGGAACAGAACGUCACAGAGGGUGAGAAUCCCGUGCGAUGAGAUGAUCCAGGCCUAUGUAAAGUUCCUUCGAAGAGUCGAGUUGUUUGGGAAUGCAGCUCUAAGUGGGUGGUAAAUUCCAUCUAAAGCUAAAUAUUGGCGAGAGACCGAUAGCGAACAAGUACAGUGAUGGAAAGAUGAAAAGAACUUUGAAAAGAGAGUGAAAAAGUACGUGAAAUUGUUGAAAGGGAAGGGCUUGAGAUCAGACUUGGUAUUUUGUAUGUUACUUCUUCGGGGGUGGCCUCUACAGUUUAUCGGGCCAGCAUCAGUUUGGGCGGUAGGAGAAUUGCGUUGGAAUGUGGCACGGCUUCGGUUGUGUGUUAUAGCCUUCGUCGAUACUGCCAGCCUAGACUGAGGACUGCGGUUUAUA
rnacentral:rRNA from 1 species